GAUCAAUUAAGUUGGUUAACGUCACCAGCGUAGAUGAUGUCAACGCUUCACCCUCUGGAGGCCCCAGAAAGCAGCUUUCCUUCACACGCCGCCGGACUGUCCACUGAUGGAGGCGGAUGGAUGCUCUUGGCCGCAUUUCUCGGCACUCAGGUUGUGACUGUCCCAGGCUUCCUGUUAAAUGCAUUCCUGGUCCGAAUAGCUUCACCCACGUGCUCAGGGCAGCGGGUGGAGUGCCAUCUCCACAUUUUUCUGUAGGAAACCCUCCAAGGAGGUGCUGCCUCCUCCUUCGGGCAGUGAAAACUCCUCAGCAAACUGGGACAUAGGUGCCAGAUGUUCAUCAGGACUACCCUGGAAAGAAGUCCAGGCCAUCCAGAUCAGGGAGGCUGGGUCUGAAGCUGGGUCUGCCAAGGCCUGGUUUCUGUCCAAGCCUCACUAGGGGAGGGACUUAUGGUGCAAACUCCCCAUUCCCUCUGGUGUGUGCGUUGCAGCCGUGAUGCUGUUUGCCUCAACUUAUGGGUCUUCUCUGGGCCCAGAUUGAACCUUCCUAUCUGUUUCCACUAGCUUUGUAUGCCAUAUGGCAUUUUACAGCCCCAUACUAUGUAGGUAACAGAAACAACAGCACUUGCAAACUACAUAUAUUUCAAAAAACAACUAGGUCUUUUGAUUAAAUUAUAAGCUUUAAUUAUAUUCUAACUAAUUAGAACAUGUUUAACAUAGACCUCUCCCAUACCUGAAAAACUGAAUGAAAAGAAACUUACAAAUGAACCCUCUGUAGGAUUACCAUUAGGUUAAAAAGAUAACUAAAAAAUAUACUAUUUUAGGCCAAGUGUGAUGGCUCACACCUGUAAUCCCAGUGCUUUGGAAGGCUGAGGCAGGAAGACUGCUUGAGGCCAGGAAUUUGAGACCGGCCUGGACAAGACAGUGAGACUCUGUUUCUAAAAAAUAAAAAUAAAAAAAUUAGUUGAGCAUGGGGAAGGGUACCUGUUGUUCUAGAUACUCUGGAGACUGAGUCCGGAGGAUCACUUGAGCCCAGUAGUGCAAGGUUGCAGUAAGCUAUCAUGGUUAACACUGCACUCCAGCCUGAGUGAAAGAGUGAGACGCUGUCUCUAAAAUAAACACUAUUUUAAAAUUGCAACAUUCUCUUAGUCCCUUCAUCGUUUCAUGGUUUUCCCUCUAGCAAUUAUAUCAUCUUCUGACCUUCAUAUUCCCUAUAGGCAAGUUUUUCUAAACUUUUCCUUUAUAUGCUGUGUAAGGCCUGUUCCUCUUUCCCUACAACAGUGACCUGGAGUAGGCAACUACUUUUAUCCUUUUUAAAAGACUGAUUCAAGCCAUUCUUGUAUUUCUGCAUCAACUGCAACAUUUUAACAACCUAUUCAGGUUUCUCCUACUGCUGAACUCAAUUUGCCAGUAUUUUGAGUCUUCUGCAUAGUUUCAUAAAUGAAAUUGGACUGUAAUUUUUUGCAUUGUACUUCCCUGUAAAGUCACUGAGGGUCUGGUGUCUUUUGG
rnacentral:lncRNA from 1 species